rnacentral:lncRNA from 1 species
AACUCACCAUCUAGCCAUCAAUUCGCCCAAAUAUUCAGAACAACGUUUUCUCGUCUCCCUAUCACUGUCCUGAUCUGCAUUGCUGCAUUAGCACUCGUUGUACGGUUCAUCUCCCGCGAUGCAGCCGCCGUCCAUGAGCCAGUUGCUGCUGCUCCUACUUCCGACGACGACUCAAUUGGCGGCGGCGGGCUUUCUUUCAUCCUCUGGUCGAUGAAUUUAGAUAUGAACAAACUUGGGAGCUUCAGCCAGGAGAAAAAAAAUUAUGUUUCCAUGCACAUUUCAGCAGCUGCUUGUAGUUUUAGCCAGCCAUCAAUUCUUUCAAAUCUUUGCAACAUGUUUUCUCCUCUCCCUGUCACUGUUCUUGUUAGCAUUGCUGCAUUGGCGUUCAUCUCCGGCGAUGCAACCAUCGUCCAUGAGCCAGUUGCUGCUGCUGCUGCACCUUCUUCUGACGAGGCUGAUUCCAUCGACGGCGGCGGUGGCGGAUUUUCUCUCCCCCUCGUUCGCCGGAGGUCCACCACCACCACCACCACCAUGAUCGACGUUGCCAAAGAGGAGAUCCAGCUUGCCACCGCCAUCGCCGCCGGAGACAAGAAGCUCCUCGUGCCGUUGUACGGCCGGCCACAAGGCGGCAGCACCUACCUCGUGCAGCUCCGCAUCGGCACGCCCACGGACCGGAUCUCGCCGAGGUACGUCCUGUUCGACACCGGCAGCGACCUCUCGUGGACGCAGUGCGAGCCCUGCACCAACUGCUCCUCCUUCACCCCGUACCCGCCCCACGAUCCGUCCAAGUCCCGCACGUUCCGCCGCCUCUCCUGCUUCGACCCGAUGUGCGAGUUGUGCACCGCCGUCGUCGAUGGCGGAGGCGGAUCUGCAGGGUGCCUGUUCAGGCGGCGCUACGGCGACGGCGGCGCCGUGUCAGGUGAGCUCGUGUCGGACGUCUUCCACUUCGGCGCGGCAGGCGACGGCGGCGGGUACCAGCUUGAGCGGGACGUCGCGUUCGGCUGCGCGCACGUCGAGGAUUCCAAGGCUGUCAGGGGUUACAGCACCGGCAUCCUCGCGCUUGGCAUCGGCAAGCCGUCGUUCGUGACGCAGCUGGGUGUGGAUAGGUUCUCGUACUGCAUCCCAGCAUCAGAGAUAACCGACGACGACGACGACGACGACGAGGAGAGAUCGGCGAGCUUCCUCCGGUUUGGUUCUCACGCAAGAAUGACAGGGAAGAGGGCCCCGUUCAAGCAGGACGGCAGCGGCUACGCCGUUCGCCUGAAGAGCGUGGUGUACCAGCACGGCGGUCGCCUGAAUCAGCAGCAACCUGUACCCGUAUAUGUUGCCGGAGAAGAAGCAGCAGCAGCCAUGCCGAUGCUGGUGGACUCCGGAACGACGCUGCUCUGGCUACCGGGCAGCGUCUUCUACCCUCUGCAGAGGAGGAUCGAGGAGGACAUCUCUCUCACCAGGAGUGACGCUCGGCUUCGGUGGAGGCGCGGAUCUCGAGCUGUUUGGCACUUCGCUGUUCUUCACUGACGAGAAUUUAACAGAAGACUGGGUUUGUCUAGCUGUUGCUGCGGGGAACAGGGCGAUACUGGGAGUGUAUCCUCAGCGUAACAUCAACGUCGGGUAUGAUCUGUCCACCAUGGAGAUAGCGUUUGAUCGUGAUCAGUGUGAUCGUGUGUAGUGGUAGCUGAUGUUUGUUAAUAUUUUUCAUGCUGUCGCUCUGCAUUUCAGCUCCUCUCUAAUGUUAGUCUGUAUGAACAGAAGUUAGCAGCGACUAUCAGUGAGAAAUCAUUAUUUUAUAUACAUUAU